AUGCAAUCCCCUGGGGGCAAAGACACCCAGCAGGGUCGCCAGAGCCGCCGCGGAGACGGGAAGUCAUGCCAGGCCUCGGAGCCCAGCCAAGAGGAACCAGAGCAGACGGGCCAAACUCAGCGGCCGGCUCCCAGGUGGGCGGUGGCGCUGGGGGGAGCCGCCUGGGCAGCAUCGCCAGCAGCUGGGAACCCUCCUGGCGCAGGAAGGGCGGCGGGAAACGCGGGGCUUUCCCGGAAACCCUGGGCGGGGCCCUGCGGCUGUUCCCAGGAACCCUCCCGCGGGAAGACCGGCCGGAGGGAUGGCUCCGUCGACGGAAGCCACCGCCUUUUCUGCGGGGCUCGCCUUCCCUACCUCCCCGAGGAGCCAGUAUGGCGGGAAGCGCCCCAGCCCACGGCCGCCUGCAGCAGAGCAGGAUUCCCUCCCCGACGGCCACGGUUGCCAAGGGACGGGAAAGACUUUGUUACCCCACCGCGCGCCACCCGCGGAAUGGUGCACAGACACCUCCAGACGCCACCUCCCCCAGGACGCCUGACUGGGCCCGCUCGGCCCACCUCUCCCUGGACGCUGCGCGGUGGGCGGGUGGGGUCGGCCCUGCUUCCCCACGACCCCCCAGACGCGCCCCGAGGCGCUUUCGGAGCACAGUGGAGUGGGAAGGGAGGGGCGGCCCCUCGACGGCGCCCAGGCGAGAGCGGCUCAAGGAGCUUCCCGGGCCCUGACCUCGGGGGACGCCUGUCCGCCAAGUCCCCGGGGGAGGACAGUGACCACCGGCCUGCGCCGGAAAAGGACUCGGCGCCUGCCCCGCAGAGCCGGCCCGAGGACCCGCAGGCGCGGGAGGCGGGGCCGAGGCGGGGGCGGGGAGUGGCGGGGCGGGACCGCCCUCGCCUCCGCCCACCGGAGCCCACAGCUGCCUCGCUCCCCGCCUCCGCUGCCGUCGCUCCUCUCAGCCUCCAGGCGCCCACCGGAAGCUCCGCCCCUCCCCGCCUAUCCGGCCUCCUCUUCGCCUGUCGUCGCCAAUGA
ensembl:lncRNA